UAGCAGUACCUUGCUAACUGGAUAAAGAGGCAAUAUUCAGAGUGGAUGGUGAUUCUCUUAUAUUUCACAGAGGGAGAGCUUAUUUAAACCCAACAAAGCAUCCUUCCAGUGGCUGUUGCUGGUAUCUACUUUGUUUAUCUUUUCAGAUGUGAGUCCUUUAGGGAUAAAGAACCACCUUUUUUCCCAUAUGCAAACCACUUUGAGAACUUUUUUGAUGAAAAGCGGAAUAUUAAAAAACAAACAAAGAAACUUUAAGCACUGCUGUCACCUGUAGAGGUGUGACAUUUUCAGUUUAACAAAGAUGAUACUGCCAUGCUGCCACCAGCAAUAACAGGAGAAUGCAUAUCAUUCAGUGACACUAUUAAGAAGGGUAUCAGUGACAAGUCAAUAGAAAGUCAAGGUUCCAAAGUGUUCACAAAAAUCUGGCCCAACACAAGUUUUAAGACUGAUUUGCUUUCCUACAAUAUUAUCCUUCAAAGUGCAGCCAACACAGAUCCAGACCAAAUAGACAAGGCAACAAGACUCUAGGAAAGUGCAGAAGAGUUAAGAGCUCUUUAAAACAGCUUUUCAUGGAUCUGGCGGUAAGUGCAC